rnacentral:rRNA from 1 species
GACGAACGCUGGCGGCGUGCUUAACACAUGCAAGUCGAACGCUGAAGCUCAGCUUUUGUUGGGGGGAUGAGUGGCGAACGGGUGAGUAACACGUGAGUAACCUGCCCCCUUCUUUGGGAUAACGCCCGGAAACGGGUGCUAAUACUGGAUAUUCACUGGUCUUCGCAUGGGGGUUGGUGGAAAGGGUUUUUCUGGUGGGGGAUGGGCUCGCGGCCUAUCAGCUUGUUGGUGGGGUGAUGGCCUACCAAGGCUUUGACGGGUAGCCGGCCUGAGAGGGUGACCGGUCACAUUGGGACUGAGAUACGGCCCAGACUCCUACGGGAGGCAGCAGUGGGGAAUAUUGCACAAUGGGCGCAAGCCUGAUGCAGCGACGCCGCGUGAGGGAUGGAGGCCUUCGGGUUGUGAACCUCUUUCGCUCAUGGUCAAGCCGCAACAAUGGUUGUGGUGAGGGUAGUGGGUAAAGAAGCGCCGGCUAACUACGUG